GCGCAAUGGGCGAAAGCCUGACGCAGCACGCCGCGUGGGGGAUGAAGGCUCUUGGGUCGUAAACCCCCUUUUGCCGGGGAAGAUAAUGACGGUACCCGGCGAAUAAGCCACGGCUAACUACGUGCCAGCAGCCGCGGUAAUACGUAGGUGGCAAGCGUUGUCCGGAUUUAUUGGGCGUAAAGGGCGCGCAGGCGGUCCGUUAGGUCCGAGGUGAAAUCUCCCGGCUCAACUGGGAGGGGUCUUCGGAUACCGGCGGACUCGAGGUGAGCAGAGGUGAGUGGAAUUCUGGGUGUAGUGGUGAAAUGCGUAGAUAUCCAGAGGAACACCAGUGGCGAAGGCGACUCACUGGGCUCCACCUGACGCUGAGGCGCGAAAGCGUGGGGAGCGAACCGGAUUAGAUACCCGGGUAGUCCACGCCGUAAACGAUGGACACUAGGUGUGGGGGGUAUUGACCCCCUCCGUGCCGCAGCUAACGCAGUAAGUGUCCCGCCUGGGGAGUACGGCCGCAAGGCUA
rnacentral:rRNA from 1 species